UUGAUUCUGCUAUAUACUUUUCAAACUCUAACUAUAUAAAGGAAAGGAUACUGAGAUGGCUGAUGGAUGAGGAAGAACAACGAAAAGCAACUAGUGAUCCUAAAAUUCAGUUCUUGAUCGUUGAGAUGUCACCUGUUACUGAUAUUGACACCAGUGGUAUCCAUGCCUUGGAAGAGUUGCAUAGAAGCCUAAUAAAGAGAAAUGUUCAGCUUGUUCUGUCGAACCCCG
rnacentral:misc_RNA from 1 species